UUUGAGCUUGACUCUUGUCUCCUGGGAGCCUUACAACAUCUCAUGUUAUAGGCAUCAUUAUGGCCACUAUGUAGAGAAGUGGACUGAACUGACAAGGAGAAAAGUUAAGUAGUAAUUUAUCCAAGAUGUCACAACUGGAAGCACGAUGAUAGAAGAGGACUCUAGGCGCGUGUGGCUGGCAGCCAGGUCUGAGGACUUCAAAACCCUCGUCUGAGAACCUGAGGAUGGUGUCGCGGCCUGAAGAGAACAAACAUGGUUUUUCCAAACCAAUUUAAAUGUGGUUACAUAGAAAGAGAUCUACCGUUUGUUAAUAGGAGUUGUGGAACAACUGCUUCCUUGCUGUCCUGCAUCUUUUCAGCCCAUCU
rnacentral:lncRNA from 10 species